rnacentral:rRNA from 1 species
AACGAACGCUGGCGGCAGGCUUAACACAUGCAAGUCGAACGCAUGCCUUCGGGCAUGAGUGGCAGACGGGUGCGUAACGCGUGGGAACCUACCCCUUGGUACGGGAUAGCUCCGGGAAACUGGAGAUAAUACCGUAUGUGUCCUGAGGGACAAAGAUUCAUCGCCAAGGGAUGGGCCCGCGUCGGAUUAGCUAGUUGGUGGGGUAACGGCCUACCAAGGCGACGAUCCGUAGCUGGUCUAAGAGGAUGAUCAGCCACAUUGGGACUGAGACACGGCCCAAACUCCUACGGGAGGCAGCGGUGGGGAAUAUUGGACAAUGGGCGCAAGCCUGAUCCAGCCAUGCCGCGUGAGUGAUGAAGGCCCUAGGGUUGUAAAGCUCUUUCACCGGUGACGAUAAUGACGGUAACCGGAGAAGAAGCCCCGGCUAACUUCGUG